rnacentral:rRNA from 1 species
CAAGUCGAGCGAAUCAACAGGAGCUUGCUCCUGUUGAUUAGCGGCGGACGGGUGAGUAACACGUGGGCAACCUGCCUGUAAGACUGGGAUAACACCGGGAAACCGGUGCUAAUACCGGAUAAUCCUUUUCCUCUCAUGAGGAAAAGCUGAAAGCCGGUUUCGGCUGACACUUACAGAUGGGCCCGCGGCGCAUUAGCUAGUUGGUGAGGUAACGGCUCACCAAGGCGACGAUGCGUAGCCGACCUGAGAGGGUGAUCGGCCACACUGGGACUGAGACACGGCCCAGACUCCUACGGGAGGCAGCAGUAGGGAAUCUUCCACAAUGGACGAAAGUCUGAUGGAGCAACGCCGCGUGAGCGAUGAAGGCCUUCGGGUCGUAAAGCUCUGUUGUUAGGGAAGAACAAGUACCGGAGUAACUGCCGGUACCUUGACGGUACCUAACCAGAAAGCCACGGCUAACUACGUGCCAGCAGCCACGGUAAUACGUAGGUGGCAAGCGUUGUCCGGAAUUAUUGGGCGUAAAGCGCGCGCAGGCGGUCCUUUAAGUCUGAUGUGAAAGCCCACGGCUCAACCGUGGAGGGUCAUUGGAAACUGGGGGACUUGAGUGCAGAAGAGGAAAGCGGAAUUCCACGUGUAGCGGUGAAAUGCGUAGAGAUGUGGAGGAACACCAGUGGCGAAGGCGGCUUUCUGGUCUGUAACUGACGCUGAGGCGCGAAAGCGUGGGGAGCAAACAGGAUUAGAUACCCUGGUAGUCCACGCCGUAAACGAUGAGUGCUAAGUGUUAGGGGGUUUCCGCCCCUUAGUGCUGCAGCUAACGCAUUAAGCACUCCGCCUGGGGAGUACGGCCGCAAGGCUGAAACUCAAGGAAUUGACGGGGG